rnacentral:lncRNA from 1 species
UCUAUUUUAUUAAGGCAUGACAUUAUUAGGGAUGAGAAUUUUGAGAAUAUCAUUGACACUCUAAUACACUUGUAAAUUUUUUGUACAUAGGUUGUGCCCCCUUGAUACCUUGUUAAUAAUACUUUUACACUUUUUAUUUCAAAACAAAAAAGUUUCAAACAUCUUUUGCUUUAGGCAAGAACAAGUGCAACUAACAUUGGUUGGCAUGCUGGCAAUUACAGGAGGCACUGCUUGGCAGUUGGACCUGGCGAUGAGGGUCAAUCAGACGCAAAUAUGUUGGCUAGAAUAAGUGCAAUUAGGGAUGCAUACUGCAAGAGGCAAGCGCACGGCAACUCAACUAGAAGUGACUGGAGGCACGCAUGGGAAAACUUGAUGGGGCAUGCGGCUUGCUAAAAGCUAAGCAAAAGGUCAUGUAAUUGGGUUGUUGUUGCUCGUGAUGAAGGUCGAUCUUGGACGCUGAUGGCUAGUUCAUGGUGGCCAGUGUAGAAGGUUGUGGUUAAUUAUGAUGGCUAGCCCCCUUUAGGGUUUUCUUAUCUUGACAAUGAAGGUUGAAUAAGAUUUGUAAAAGAGUCUACGAUUUAUCAACUU